rnacentral:rRNA from 1 species
AUUGAACGCUGGCGGCAUGCUUUACACAUGCAAGUCGAACGGUAGGGUAGCAAUACCUGAGAGUGGCGAACGGGUGAGUAAUGCAUCGGAACAUGCCUAUUUGUGGGGGAUAGCCCGGCGGAAGCCGGCUUAAUACCGCAUACGAUCUACGGAUGAAAGCUGGGGACCGCAAGGCCUAGCGCAAAUAGAGUGGCCGAUGUCAGAUUAGCUAGUUGGUGGGGUAAAGGCUAACCAAGGCCACGAUCUGUAGCUGGUUUGAGAGAACGACCAGCCACCCUGGGACGGAGACACGGCACAGACUCCUACUGGAGGCAGCAGAGGGGAAUUUUGGACAAGGGGCGCAAGCCUGUUCCAGCAAUGCCGCGUGCAGGGUGAAGGCCUUCUGGUUGUAAACUGCUUUUGUACGGAACGAAACGGCUCUGGUUAAUACCCGGGGCUAAUGACGGUACCGUAAGAAUAAGCACCGGCUAACUACGUGCCAGCCGCCGCCGUAAAAC